rnacentral:rRNA from 1 species
GUCCACGCCGUAAACGAUGGAUACUAGCUGUUGGGAUUUAUCUCAGUGGCUAAGCGAAAGUGAUAAGUAUCCCACCUGGGGAGUACGUUCGCAAGAAUGAAACUCAAAGGAAUUGACGGGGGCCCGCACAAGCGGUGGAGCAUGUGGUUUAAUUCGAUGAUACGCGAGGAACCUUACCAAGGCUUAAAUGUAGAUUGACCGUUUUGGAAACAGAACUUUCGCAAGACAAUUUACAAGGUGCUGCAUGGUUGUCGU